GACGAACGCUGGCGGCGUGCUUAACACAUGCAAGUCGAACGGUGAAAGCGGAGCUUGCUCCGCUGGAUCAGUGGCGAACGGGUGAGUAACACGUGGGCAACCUGCCCCUCACUUCGGGAUAACUCCGGGAAACCGGGGCUAAUACCGGAUAUGACCUCCUUGGGCAUCCUUGGAGGUGGAAAGUUUUUCGGUGAGGGAUGGGCCCGCAGCCUAUCAGCUUGUUGGUGAGGUAGUGGCUCACCAAGGCGACGACGGGUAGCCGGCCUGAGAGGGAGACCGGCCGCACUGGGACUGAGACACGGCCCAGACUCCUACGGGAGGCAGCAGUGGGGAAUAUUGCGCAAUGGGCGAAAGCCUGACGCAGCAACGCCGCGUGCGGGAUGACGGCCUUCGGGUUGUAAACCGCUUUCAGCAGGGAAGAAGCCGCAAGGUGACGGUACCUGCAGAAGAAGCACCGGCUAACUACGUGCCAGCCGCCGCCGUAA
rnacentral:rRNA from 1 species